rnacentral:rRNA from 1 species
GACGAACGCUGGCGGCGUGCUUAACACAUGCAAGUCGAACGGAAAGGCCCUGCUUUUGUGGGGUGCUCGAGUGGCGAACGGGUGAGUAACACGUGAGUAACCUGCCCUUGACUUUGGGAUAACUUCAGGAAACUGGGGCUAAUACCGGAUAGGAGCUCCUGCUGCAUGGUGGGGGUUGGAAAGUUUCGGCGGUUGGGGAUGGACUCGCGGCUUAUCAGCUUGUUGGUGGGGUAGUGGCUUACCAAGGCUUUGACGGGUAGCCGGCCUGAGAGGGUGACCGGCCCCAUUGGGACUGAGAUACGGCCCAGACUCCUACGGGAGGCAGCAGUGGGGAAUAUUGCACAAUGGGCGGAAGCCUGAUGCAGCAACGCCGCGUGCGGGAUAACGGCCUUCGGGUUGUAAACCGCUUUCGCCUGUGACGAAGCGUGAGUGACGGUAAUGGGUAAAGAAGCACCGGCUAACUACGUG